rnacentral:rRNA from 1 species
CGAGCUGGGUUCAGAACGUCGUGAGACAGUUCGGUCCCUAUCCGUCGCAGGCGUAGGAAAUUUGAGAAGACCUGUCCUUAGUACGAGAGGACCGGGAUGGACGUACCUCUGGUGUACCAGUUGUUCUGCCAAGGGCAUGGCUGGGUAGCUAUGUACGGAAUGGAUAAGCGCUGAAAGCAUCUAAGCGCGAAGCCAACUUCAAGAUAAGAUUUCCCACCGCAAGGGUAAGACCCCAGAAAGACUAUCUGGUUGAUAGGUCGAAGGGGUAAGUGCAGCAAUGUAUUUAGCUUAUCGAUACUAAUAGGUCGAGGACUUGACCAAU